UGGUUUUAUAAGUAUUUGACACUUCCUCCUUCACAGGAUUCUCUCUUCUGCCGCCUUGCAAAGAAGAUGACUGCUUCCCUUUCCACCAUGAUUGUAAGUUUCCUGACACCUCCCCAGCCAAGUGAAACUGAUGAUUCUCUCUUGGUGGCUCAAAGUGAGAUAGCUAGAAGCUGCUUACACAGCCAGCAGUUACCUUCGGUCUGCUUGGUUGAACAGCAGAGAUUGAAAUUACUUGAGAAUACGACACGGAGACAGAAGAAAAACAGAAUCAGAAGCAAAGCUGGAUAAUGAAUGGAAAUAGAAGUGGACAGAAGUGGAGAAAGAUGAGAUAGAUCACCAGAGAAAAGAGCAGAGGAUACAGACUUCUGAGGUAUAACCAAGACAACCAGAUCACAUGAGCUUCUGUAACUUUCCACAACUGCUUUUGUUGUAUCUUCUUAUCCAAGGAUUCAUCUACUGUUUCAUUACUUUAUUGGAACUUUGUGUUCCCCCCAAAUGAAUGUGUUUGCUUCCUCAGAUUCAAGCAUAUCGCCUUACGAUGUUCCCCCUUACCAGAGUAUAAGCUGUUACUAAGUUUUAUAAGAGCAGAGACCAAGGCUGUAUCUGUUUUAUUCUGCACCAUGUAUUCAGUUUGGCACAGAACCUGGCUCAUAGUUGGCUGAAAUACAUGACAAUGAAUGAAGGAGUGAAAUUAAAAUAACAGACAUAGUAAAUUACAUUUACACAAAGAAAUAUUUUGAUAAAUUAUCAGUCCAAUCUCAUUUUGACUCCAUGCAGACACACACACACACACACACACACACACACACACACACCUAUUUUUCCCUUUAUUUUAAAAAAUUCUAAAUGAGAGAAGUGAUUCUGAUAGUCGACUAGGGAACAAAAGACACAUUUACUUAUUCAGAUUCGUGAACUUCUCUGAGUAAGAAGAUGAUAUUUUUCCUUUUUCUCUCUAAAAAUAAAUGUCUUUCUAAAAAAUACAAACAUUAUCAUGAUAACCAAUACCACCUGGUAUUAUUUAUUAUUCCAGUUUUCUGUCUCCCGCUGCAUUAGAUCUCUGUUCUGAUGCAAUAUUUUUGAAUAUCUUCCUAUAGAGCUUUCCGUAUGCUACCUUCAAUAAACAUCUUCUUUCCGCAGGAGGUUUUCUUUGGUUAAUAACACUCUGUAAGUACUUAAUGUGACAUUAUGAUUUGUUGCAAGGGUAGGCUGAACAGUGCUUGACCUCAUAUAGUUCUAUAGAUCACUAUUGAUUUAAAGUGGCAGACCAAAUUCUCCACAUUAGCCUGC
rnacentral:lncRNA from 10 species